UACGGGGGGGCAAGCGUUGUUCGGAAUUACUGGGCGUAAAGGGCUCGUAGGUGGCCAACUAAGUCAGACGUGAAAUCCCUCGGCUUAACCGGGGAACUGCGUCUGAUACUGGAUGGCUUGAGUUUGGGAGAGGGACGCGGAAUUCCAGGUGUAGCGGUGAAAUGCGUAGAUAUCGGGAGGAACACCAGUAGCGAAGGCGACACUCUGGGCCGGUACUGACGCUGAGGAGCGAAAGCGUGGGGAGCAAACAGG
rnacentral:rRNA from 1 species